UUAGGAAAACAUAGAGACUUUUCUCCCAACUUUUGCCAAUCCACUCAAUCAAAAUCAAAACUCAAUUUUAAAACUGGUUCAAGGCUGGCUGCACAUGGCAAACUAGUCUGGAAAAUUCAAUUUGAUGCUUAGCAUAGNGUAUGAUGAGUUCCCACAAGUUUAUAUGGUGAUAAUAACUAGGUGCAGGCAGCUAGAUACUCACAAAACAAAGUGCAACAGAAAUUGACUAUGACACUUCCCAAAAUAUGACCAAAAUGAGGUAACCAAGCAAUGACUACAAGCCAAUUCGAAAAUUGACCAUAUGAACAGUAAUCCCUCAGUUUUGAUGCACUUUUAACAGAUGUUUAGCUCAUCAAAUCAACAUAAAACAGCUGUUUAAGAAAAUUGGCUAUACUACUAGAUGAAUUCAAGCCAAAUGAGGAAGUGAUAUAGUGAUUUUGUGCAUUGGUGCAGAUCUGACCAUAAAAUCAGUUUGUACACAUUUCAAAUGACCAAACAAAGUGGUUCUGAGGUUCUAAAUGCACAAAAACCAGCAACUAUGCAAUUUCACACUUCCAUUGCCAAAUUAUGCAGAAAAACGUAUGAAAACUGCAGCAGUACCAAUAAUUGAUUCUUGACUGGAUUCAAAUUGGUUUAAGCACAAGAAAUUCAGAAGAAUUUGAUCUAGAACUAGCUCUAGAAAAUUAAGCUAGCAGAAUUAAGUAACCUACUGAUUUGCAAGGACAACUAACACGGUGCAGAGUUGAAUUUGACAGCAGAAAACAUCAACAUUCAUGACAGAUUUUAAUGCAGCAACUGAAUUGUUUUCAAUUCCAAACUUUCAGAUCUGAGUUGGACUAAUUGUUGAAAUGGUAAACAUCAAUUCAAACCAUUCAAACAGCUUGCAACACCUCUGAAUUAUAGAUUUAAAUGUCCAAAACAGAAACUGGUGCACAGUAAAUUCUGUUACGGUAUUUUGGGAAAUUUCCGUAAACCAGAUUUGGUUUUUUGUGAUUCAAUGAGGCAACUGGCUUGUAUUCACUUGAAACAAGUUUUAAAUCACCAAAAGAACUUGCUGCAAACACCAAACAUCACAAAUCUGGACUGAACAGAAAUUUCACAAUAGUUCCAGAUUUGAAAGCAGAGAAAAAAAAACGUUACAGACUUCAAAGUUUUGCAGAGUUGGUGUUUUUCUUCAAUGCUAAGCUCAUGUGAUCAAGGCUAGACAAAGUCUUGAUGCUUUUUUAGAUCAACUAAGAGCUAUCACUGCACUGGAUUGAUUCAAAACGAAACACACACUUGCUGAACAGAAAACACUGUGACAAAUUAAAACAGCUUCAAUAUAGCACAUGACCAUGAACAAACUGGAAAUUUGGAAUUAAAAGCUGAAUAAACUGAAAACACUUGAGAUGCACCGAUUAAAAUGUAAAAGACACACUAAGGAACAAGUGACCGAACAAUGAUUCACUCAAACACAUGAUGCAAAGCAGAAAAUCAAUGGAAUAGUGAUUUGAGAAGAGAACAGAACAACACGGACAAUAAAAUGAAAUUGGAAAGUUACUUAGCUGGAANGUGAUGCAGAACCAUAGCUCUGAAUACCACUUGAUACGGCUCUCCAUUGCUUGGUUGAAGUGAGAUUCCGAGAAGGCAUAGUUCCAGCAGGUGGCAGCGGAAAGUUGAUGGAUCUGGAUGGAUGCU
rnacentral:lncRNA from 1 species